GAUGAACGCUGGCGGCGUGCCUAAUACAUGCAAGUCGAGCGAACAGGCGAGGAGCUUGCUCCCCUGACGUUAGCGGCGGACGGGUGAGUAACACGUGGAUAACCUACCUAUAAGACUGGGAUAACUUCGGGAAACCGGAGCUAAUACCGGAUAAUAUAUUGAACCGCAUGGUUCAAUAGUGAAAGACGGUUUUGCUGUCACUUAUAGAUGGAUCCGCGCCGCAUUAGCUAGUUGGUAAGGUAACGGCUUGCCAAGGCAACGAUGCGUAGCCGACCUGAGAGGGUGAUCGGCCACACUGGAACUGAGACACGGUCCAGACUCCUACGGGAGGCAGCAGUAGGGAAUCUUCCGCAAUGGGCGAAAGCCUGACGGAGCAACGCCGCGUGAGUGAUGAAGGUCUUCGGAUCGUAAAACUCUGUUAUUAGGGAAGAACAAAUGUGUAAGUAACUAUGCACGUCUUGACGGUACCUAAUCAGAAAGCCACGGCUAACUACGUG
rnacentral:rRNA from 1 species